GCCCGCCGGGUCCAGUGGUUCUUAACAGUUCAACAGUUCUGUAGGGCAAUUGUGAAAUGUUUAGGACCACUAGACCCGGC
rfam:Cavia porcellus supercont2_111 genomic scaffold, whole genome shotgun sequence.